rnacentral:lncRNA from 1 species
AUAGUGGAUCUGCGGGUUAGAGGAAAUAGGCUGCAGGGCGGAGACCGAGCCUUGGCGAACUGCGCUGCCGUAGCCAUUCCGCCCUAGCCUCUGCCGUGCUCCGCGGCGAUUCCGUCCAGACCGGAACCAGCGUGCGUCUGGCUCUCCUCCGCCGCUCUGGGACACCUCAUUCUGUCUGACGCUCAAGACCUGGCUUCGACGUUUAUGGCCCUAUGUCCCUCGACUACGGGUUGCCUGCCUGUCUGCAUCGUUUCAAGUUCCCUUAUUCAGCCUUUUAAGGAUUCAUAGUGGAUUUGGAAAGCCCCCUCUCUUCUCCGCCAGCUGCCCCGAGAGGUGGGGGCAGCAGUGGGGCGGCACACAGUGCUGCUGUAGGAGGAGGAGGAGUUUCAGCCUGAGUCAACAACAUAUGCAAAAAUCACAACGAAUGAGAGGCGUGAGGUUUUCGGUGUAGCAGACAUUUAAUUCUUAUUUGCCAACUCCUGAGCUAGGACCUGGGAACACAAAGUUAAAUAGGACACGAUUCUAGUCCUCUAGGCACCAACGGUCUUGGAAAGGAAGGCAGACAAGUAAACUGGCCAUUUCAAUACUACGUGGUCGUUACAAUGCUAGAGGUAGGCACAGGGGGCGCAGUGCAAGGGAGGAAGGGCGUUAACAUCUGCCACCUACUUCCAGGUGCCAAGCACUGUUAUCAACAUUAUUCCACUUUAUUCCCUGGUGAUUAUGAAAGGCAGGUAUUGAUAUUCACACUUAACAGACGAGGAAACAGCCUCAGGGAGAUAAGCUUACUUGACCCAGUCUCUCUCCUAGUCCAUAUCAGAACCAAGAUUCAAACAGGUUUUGUUUAGAAAAUCUAGGAUUUUUCAGCCAUACCAAAAUAAAGUAGCCUCAGGGAAUCAAAACAUUCACGAAAGAAGGUGACUUCUGAACUGAGUCUUGCAAGAAUUCUGGAAAUUAACCUGGCAGUUGUAUCAGGGGUGGUAAGGGGACGGAACAGCUUGAGCAAGAGUGAGAGUUCCUUGGGGUUUGGGGAGGGAGGAGGAAAAAUGAUUUUUUACUUAAGAACAAAUAGCAAGGAAGGUUUGUGAGCUAUGAUUGGGGGCUGGAGGGGAAAGCCUGAAUUCUAUCCAGUAAUCCUUGAAGGGUUUUCAUCCAAGUGGCCUGAUGGGAUUUGCAUUUUACUCUGGAAGAUGACUUGGGGAUUGGCAGGAAGUAAGGACACUUUUUUUCAAGAGAAUAUAGCCCUAAACUAAGGUAGUAGCAGUGGGGAUAUAAGUGGAUAAGUUCUAGAUAUACUUGGGAAAUAUAAUUGGAAGGACUUGUGGACUGAUAAAGAUAUAUUUAAGAUGUGCAGUCAGUAGGACUUGUUGAUUGAGGACUUGUUGAUUGAAGGUGGGGUGAAAAGAUGACACAGGUUUCUGGCUUGGUUGGAAAAAGCAUAGCAUCAUUUACCAAGAAGAAACGAGAUGGAAUUGUUUGGGGUUGGGAAGGUGGACGAUGAAAUGUUGAGUAUCACGCAUCUUACAUUUGAGGUAUCAAUCAUUAUUGGAUAGAAAGUCUUAUUUAGUGAGAUGGUAAUGGUUGUAGAUGUCAGUGAUUUGUUCCAGGGGACAAUGAGUAAACUGAGAAGAGCAAAAAUCUACAAAUGGAGCAAUGAAGGUCAGCAUUCCAUGAAGAAGCAGAAAUUGAUGAGAGAGGAAGACAAGAGUAGUCAGAGAAGUUAAGACCUGGAAGCUAAGUAAGGAGAGGGAGUGGGCAACUAUGAUGGAAAGGCCAUAAAGCAAAGAUUGAGAAGUAUGCACUGGAGGCCAUUGUUUCUGGAUGUCAGGGUAGGAAAGAGUAAACGGUGACAGUAGAGGUCUCCUUGCAGUGAAUUGGGGAAUGAAUAUCAAGUGAAAUAGUGCACAGAGUCUGUAUACAACCCUUUGGAAAAGCCUGAUUGAAAAGAGAAAGAUGAGAUGCGGAGGGAGAGGCAUUCAAAAAAUGCUAGUUACAGCAUCUUAUUGAGGAAUCUAAGGCAGGAGUAGGGAGACCUGAGUAUGAUGGAGCAUGGUAGGGUUGGGAGUCAAGUCAAGCUCACAGCAUUUCAGGGUUAGGGA